GUAUUUGAAGAAUAUGUAUUUUUUUUGAACUCUCACAAAUAAAUAGUAAGAAAACAAACAGCUCAAUUUCUAGGGGGAAAAGGAUAUAAACAGACAUUUAACCAAAGGAAAGGGGAGUAGCAAAUAAACACACGCAAAGCUGUUCAUCAGAAUAAUCCAUUAGUGAAAUACAGACUAAAACUACAAUGGAUAUCACUAUACACCUAUUAGAAUGACUUAAAAAUAAAACUAAUAUUCAAAAAAAUACACGUAUCCCAAUGUUCAUAGCAGCAUUAUUUACAAUUGCCAAGAUAUGGAAGCAAUCUAAGUGUCCAAAUAUGGUAUACACACACACACACAGAAAAUGAAAUACUACUCAGCCAUAAAAAGAAUGAAAUUUUAUCAUUUGCAACAACAGACGAAUGGACUUGGAGGAUAUUACGCUAGGUGAAAUAAAUCAGACAGAGAAAGACAAAUACAGUAUGAUAUCACUUAUAUGUGGAAUCUAAAAAAUACAACAAACUUAUGAAUAUAACCAAAAAAGAAACAGGCACAGAUAUAGAGAACAAAUUAGUCGUUACCAGUAGGGAGACGGAAGAGGGAGGGGCAAUACAGUGGUAGGGGAUUAAGAGGUACAAACUAUAAUGCAUAAAAUAAGCCAACAGGAUACAUUGUACAACACAAGGAAUAUAGCCAAUAUUUUUUUUUUGUCUUUUGUCUUUUUAGGGCCGCACCCACAGCACAUGGAAGUUCCCAGGCUAGGGGUCCAACUGGAGUUGUAGCUGGCGGCCUACACCACAGUCACAGUAAUGCAGGAUGGGAGCAUUGCUCGUGGCAACGCUGGAUCCUUAACCCAAUGAUCAAGGCCAGGGAUCGAACCGCAUCCUCAUAGAUAAUAGUCAGGUUCGUCAACCACUAAGCCAUGACGGGUACGCCUAGUUAAUACUUUAUAAGAACUCUAAAUGGAGCAUAAUCUUUAAAUAUUGUCAAUCACUUACUGUCCACAUAUAACUUAUAUAAUAUUGUACAUCAAAUACACUUCAGUUAAAAAAAUUUUAAUAAAAUAAAAUAUAAAUAAAAUCAAGUGGAGUAUUGUAGUCUCCGACUAUUUGUAUUGAAUUGUCUGUUUCUCCCUGCAGCCUAUCAAUUUUGUUUCAUUAGAUGCAUGUGUUUAUUUUUGUUAUAUCUUCCUGAUUGACUAACCCAUUUUGUCUACCAUCAGUAUAACCACUCCAGAAUUCUUAUGGUUGCUGUUUGUAUGACGUAUCUUUUCUUUCUUCUACUUUCAGUCUGUUUGUUUCUUAGGAUCUAAAGUGUGUCUCCCCAUUGGCAGAGUAUAGUUGGAUCAUGUGUUUUAAUCCAGCCUGACAAUCUCUGCAUCUUAAUUGGGUUGUUUAAUCCAAUUUCUAUGGCAAGAUAAAUACAGGUAUAGAAACUAUAGUGCCCAAAAUGUAGAGCUUUAAUAAAUUAUGAGAAGGUAAAUACCCUGUAGCCAGCACCAAAAUUGAUGAAAUUUUCCUAAUUCAUUUCCAGAAGUCCACCCUGCAGAACUGCAAUCACAGCCCUGUCUCUGCCUCCAAAUUAACGGCCACUCUGACUUUUAACGUAAUCACUUCCUUGGUUUCUUUAAAGCCUUAUUCCACCACUGUAUGUCCUUAGAUACUAUAGUUUAGCCUCUCAUUUCUUUUUACUCCAGCAAGUUUCUUUAUGAAAGCUAUACAGUGUGGUUCAAGAUGGCCUGUCUGAGAUGGGAACAGAAACAGGAUCCAGCCUUGCUAAGGUUUGGAACAAAUACGGUAUGAUUUCACUCAUAUAUGGAAUAUUAAAAAAAUAAGUAAAUAACCAAGCAAACACAUAGGAAGAGAAACAAAUUGGUGAUUACCAGAGGGGAUGCAGUGGGACAGGGAGUAUGACAUGGGAAAGGCAGGGGUGGGUUUCGACUUUAAGGUGAUGCACAGAAACUAGACUUCUGGGGGUGACCACACUGUAUUGUACCCAGAAGUCAAAUUAUAAGGUUGUACACAUGACACUUAUAAAAUGUUAUACAUCAGUGUUACCAUAAUAAAAAAAAUAAAUUCAAUGAUUAAAAAUUUUAGUUAAAAGAAGGAGGUCUGGGAAUUCAAGAAUCAGAGAAUCAACCAUCUUGCAGAACUACCAUGUACUGCCAAUGUCUGCAUUAUACUAAAACCUGUAUGAACAGAGUCACAGAGUGAAAGCAUGGCAGGAGAUAAGAUCUGGGCCAGAGAGGAGUCAAAGACAUGGGGGGAGAGGAUACCCCAGUCCCUUCCUAUCCCUGCUGUCUGCCGGGGAUAACACUUGUUGCCACCAGGGAGGGCUGGCCCGCAAUGGUGUCUGGAGGCAGCAAACAGAUGAGUGGUGCCUGCCGCCACCCACUAAACACCACUUUAACUUUCAGAAGCAGAGGUCAAGAAAGCAGCCACCUUGCUGAGACCUAGGACAGAGUCAUAGUCUGCUGCUAAGAGACAGGAACGAGAGGUCGGGAUGCUGAUGUGAAGGCCACAAUAAAGCAUGAUUUGUGAAGGUGGAGAACAGAGCACAGAGCUUUCAAGAAUCAGGCUGUCAAUCAGCCUUUUAGAGAAUUGCAAUACUAACCCAUUGGCUAAUGGGGCAGGAAAUAAUUAUUCCUAAGAGCAUACCCCGGUUCCCCAAACAACCCAAACAAGAAGUGAGCUGCGGAAGCACAGCAGCACCUGGAGGAGGGAAGCCUCCUGAAUCUUACCCUCAAAUGUAGUUGGAAAAUAGGGUAUAAGGGCAAUUCCUCCAGGGUGAAGCCUGAUAUCAGCCGGGAUGGUGAAUGAUGGGCUGGAAAGGAGGAGGGCACAGAGGGCCACAAGGAUCUGGGAGAACCAUCCUUUCCAGACGUAGCUAAGAACAUGUGCUGCUGCAAUGCGCUCCUGUUCCCCACAGGCAGCUAGUCUCAGCGGACACAGCCCAACCCAAGGACUCAGCCCAACCCUGAACCAAGUCUGGCCAUCUGAAACUGCAAUUACGGGAAGGCAGUCAGGUGGGGUGGGAACCCCAGAGAUGGUCCUGGAGAACUGGGGUAAAGACCUGUGUGAUGAGCUCUAACAACCAAAUGAGGACAAGUUAGGGAUGCUCAGGAAAUAUCCAUGGCAUUUGAGGGCAUCUGCAUACCCAGCCCUUGGGGUACCACUGAGCUGCCCUGUAUCACAGGUCCUAGUGCCACCAUCAGAGAUAGAGCCCUGGAGGAUCAGACCACAGGAG
rnacentral:lncRNA from 1 species